rnacentral:rRNA from 1 species
UACGAAGGGGGGCUAGCGUUGUUCGGAAUUACUGGGCGUAAAGCGCGCGCAGGCGGUCCUUUAAGUCAGGGGUGAAAGCCCAGAGCUCAACUCUGGAACGGCCUUUGAAACUAGAGGACUUGGGUACGGGAGAGGUGAGUGGAAUUCCGAGUGUAGAGGUGAAAUUCGUAGAUAUCGUAAGGAAGACCAGUGGCGAAGGCGGGUCUCUGGACAGUUCCUGACGCUGAGGCACGAAGGUCAGGGGAGCAAACGGG